CUAAAGGCACUUGGCACUGGCUUCGGCAUCAUCCCUGUGGGCGGCACUUACCUCAUUCAGUCUGUUCCAGCUGAGCUCAAUAUGGAUCACACCGUGGUGCUGCAGCUGGCAGAGGUACUGGUGCACCUUCGAGUGUGUGUGUGUGCAAGGGACAGUCUGUGAUGCAAGUCUGGAGCAGUUCUCAGCUCCUGCUCCUCAUUAUGCAGGUCUUUUGCUGAGACUAUCCAAUGGAUGAACUACUCAGGCCUGUGCUUGUUCAGCAGACAUUUAUUGAGCAGCUACAGUGCAAAGCACUGGGCCAGGCUGUGGGGCAUAUAAAGAUAAGAAUGAUAAAAUUCCUGCUCUCAAGGAGCUUACAGUCUAGUCAGGUGGGCAGACAUGCAGACGACUAACUAGAUUUCUUUGGGUAGCAAGACUCUUUGAUGUCUUUUGGAACUACUUUAUGGAUUCUUCAAAAACAGAUUUUAAAAAAUCUUGUUUGCCAUGCCCCCAUCCCUCAUCAUGCCUUAAGCAUAUGCCAUCUUCCCCCAAAUCCCCAUCAGGUAUUUAGGAUAGAUAUGUUCAAUUUUCUUUAUUAUUUUUGAGAUGGAGUUUCACUCGUUGCCUAGGCCGGAGUGCAAUGGCGUGAUCUCAGCUCACUACAAUGUCGGCCUCCCAGGUUCAAGUGAUUCUCCUGCCUCAGCCUCCCGAGUAGCUGGGAUUACAGGUGUGUGCCACCACGUCCAGCUAAUUUUGUAUUUUUAGUAGAGAAGGGGUUUCUCCAUGUUGGCCAGGCCUGAGGUUGGUCUCAAACUCCCGACCUCAGGUGAUCCGCCCGCCUUAGCCUCCCAAAGUGCUGGGAUUACAGGGGUGAGCCACUGCACCCAGCCCAGUUUUCUUUAUAACGUAAAACAGAACUAAAUAAAGGAAGGGCUUUUCUGUAUUGGAGGAUAAGUAGAAUGAGGCAGGGCAAGAGCUGAAUAUUUAAAUAAUGGAGAUUAUUAGCAGUUUAUGAUUAUCACCAUUUCUUCCCAUCAAUUAAUUGUCCAGAAUCUUCCCUUGUCAUGCUCUAGAGUGCUUUGCAGAAGUCUAACUUAAUAUGUUAGUACGAGGGACCCCACCUUUUUUUUUUUUUGAGAUGGGAGUCUCGCUCUGUCGCCCAGGCUGGUGUGCAGUGGUGCAAUCUCCGGCUCACUGCAGCCUCCAUCUCCCAGGUUCCAGCGAUUCUUCUGCCUCAGCCUUCCGAGUAGCUGGGAUUACAGGCGUGUGCCACCAUGCCUGGCUAAUUUUUAUAUUUUUAGUAGAGAUGGGGUUUCACCAUGUUGGCCAGGCUGGUCUCAAACUCCUGACCUCAGGUGAUCCACCCACCUCGGCCUCCCAAAAAGUGCUAGGAUUACAGGCAUGAGCCGCCGUGCCUGGCCGGGACUCCACUUUUAAGAUUGAACCCACCAACCUACCUCUGUCAUGCUGAAAGUCACUUCUCUCUCUCCCCACUGGAACCUUUAAACAUUUUCUGUGUUCUCUCAUGCUUGACAGCUUUUCCUCCUUUCUGGGUAAGUCUCUUGUUCCUGGGCAGAUCCUGGGUUCUAAGGGAAGGUGCACUCUUAACUGAUUCAAUCCCCAUUCCUCCUUCCUUCAGAAGAAUGGCUACGUGACUGUCAGUGAGAUCAAAGCCAGUCUUAAUUGGGAGACCGAGCGAGCGCGGCAAGUGCUGGAACACCUGCUGAAGGAAGGGUUGGCGUGGCUGGACUUACAGGCCCCAGGGGAGGCCCACUACUGGCUGCCAGCUCUCUUCACUGACCUCUACUCCCAGGAGAUUACAGCUGAGGAGGCCAGAGAAGCCCUCCCCUGACUGCGUGUGGAAGGGCACACAGCAGCAGGCAGGGAGGAGGAGGUGGUGGCAAAUAAACCUGGGCAGUUUUGUUUAUAAAAAAAAAAAAU
rnacentral:sRNA from 1 species